AUUUCCCGCUUUCUGCAUUCCUAACACAUGCAAGUCGAGCGAGCGGCGGACGGGUGAGUAAUGCCUGGGAAUUGCCCAGUCGAGGGGGAUAAAAGUUGGAAACGACUGCUAAUACCGCAUACGAUUGGAUUGCCCAGGUGGGAUUAGCUAGUUGGUGAGGUCCUGGCUCACCAAGGCGACGAUCCCUAGCUGGUCUGAGAGGAUGAUCAGCCACACUGGAACGGAGACACGGUCCAGACUCCGACGGGAGGCAGCAGUGGGGAAUAUUGCACAAUGGGGGAAACCCUGAUGCAGCCAUGCCGCGUGUGGGAAGAAGGCCUUCGGGUUGUAAAGCACUUUCAGCGAGGAGGCGUUACUCACAGAAGAAGCACCGGCUAACUCCGUGCCAGCAGCCGCGGUAAUUC
rnacentral:rRNA from 1 species